rnacentral:rRNA from 1 species
AGAGUUUGAUCCUGACUCAGAACGAACGCUGGCGGCGUGCCUAACACAUGCAAGUCCAACGUGAAAGGGGAGCAAUCCCCCGGUAGGGUGGCAAACGGGUGAGUAAUACAUGGGUGAUCUACCUUAGGGAUGGGGAUAUCCUUCCGAAAGGAGGGGCAAUACCGAAUAUUGUCCGGAGCCGUGAAGGGUUCCGGGGAAAGGGAGGCCUCUGAUACAAGCUUUCGCCUUAAGAUGAGCCCAUGGCCCAUCAGCUAGUUGGUAGGGUAAAGGCCUACCAAGGCUACGACGGGUCGCUGGUCUGAGAGGACGACCAGCCACACUGGCACUGAGAUACGGGCCAGACUCCUACGGGAGGCAGCAGUGAGGAAUAUUGCGCAAUGGGGGAAACCCUGACGCAGCAACGCCGCGUGUGGGAAGAAGGCCUUCGGGUCGUAAACCACUUUUGCACGGGACGAAAAAGGGAUAUCGAACAAAUAUCCCCGACGACGGUACCGUGAGAAUAAGCCACGGCUAACUCUGUGCCAGCAGCCGCGGUAAGACAGAGGUGGCAAGCGUUGUUCGGAAUUACUGGGCGUAAAGAGUCUGUAGGUGGUUUGUCAAGUCUUUGGUGAAAGGCCGUAGCUUAACUAUGGGAAUGCCAAAGAGACUGGCAGGCUGGAGGCU